ensembl:ncRNA F22B3.14 ncRNA
GCUACGACGACGACGACACGGCGAUUUGAAAUGGAAAUAUGUGUAGAUGCACAGAAGCCUCUGGAGAAGGGGACACAUGUGAGAGCAGCUCAAAAAAAGCAAUAAAGCCU